GAUGAAGAACGUAGCGAAAUGCGAUACUUGGUGUGAAUUGCAGAAUCCCGUGAACCAUCGAGUCUUUGAACGCAAGUUGCGCCCGAAGCCAUUAGGCCGAGGGCACGCCUGCCUGGGCGUCACACGUCGUUGCCCCCCCAUCUACUCCUUCGGGAUUGCGGGGGGCGGAUGAUGGCCUCUCGUGCGCCUCGUCGCGCGGUUGGCCUAAAUGCCAAGUCCUCGGCGACGCACGCCACGACAAUCGGUGGUUGCGAAACCUCGGUUGCCUGUCGUGUGCGGUCGUCGUGCAUCGAGGGCUCGAAAAAAUUGCCGGGCUUCGGCUCGACUUUCAACGCGACCCCAGGUCAGGCGGGGUUACCCGCUGAAUUUAAGCAUAUCAAUAAGCGGAGGA
rnacentral:misc_RNA from 1 species